rnacentral:lncRNA from 1 species
GUGCCUUUAAAAGAUUCUGACAUUUAUAUCUUUCUAAUUCUUGGUUCACAUUGAUGAUGAGUGUGGAAAAUUUUAUUGAGAGGUGGAGAUUGAUAUAAAUGAAUAUUACAUCAUGAGAGUGAAAACUUCUUCUCAUUUAAUAUUAUACAGACUUAGUAACUAUUUUUUCUCAUAGAAUCAGAAAAGAAACAUUUACUUUUGCUUAAGAGAUAUCAAUAUAAGAAAUAAAGGCUCAAAGCAGCUAUUUAACUGAAAUAAUAGCAACAGAAAAUUGCCCUUCUCUUGGGUCCAUCGUGCCCAUGUGAAGGAGUAGACGGGCGGGGGUGCUGGUUCGGUCAUGGAAGAAAGCUCCCUGUGGAGGAAGUGAGCAUUUGGGCCACGGUCUGGUAAGUUGGACAUUCCCCUCGUCAGUUCUACGUAACGGUUUCGGAACGGGCUCUUUCUCUCUGCCGUUUUGGUUCUUAGGUGCUGAUUUUAGCUUCCAUCAAUGCUGCGUGGCGAUCACUGUCAUCCUCAUACACUGCAGAUGGUGAUGCCACCCCAUCAAGACCGGGAUUACGUGAUCCUCGGCCACUGCCGUGACCUACGUGCUGGGUACACAGGAGGCUCAGUAAAUAGUUGCCAAUUAAAUAACUGUAUGCACUACAAGGAAAGAGAUAGUCUGCAAUUCCAAACAGUGCUGCAGACUUCUCCAAGCCCGGAGUCAGUGCCCUAA